rnacentral:rRNA from 1 species
GACGAACGCUGGCGGCGUGCUUAACACAUGCAAGUCGAACGGAAAGGCCCUGCUUUUGUGGGGUGCUCGAGUGGCGAACGGGUGAGUAACACGUGAGUAACCUGCCCUUGACUUUGGGAUAACUUCAGGAAACUGGGGCUAAUACCGGAUAGGAGCUCCUGCUGCAUGGUGUGGGUUGGAAAGUUUCGGUGGUUUGGGAUGGACUCGCGGCUUAUCAGCUUGUUGGUGGGGUAGUGGCUUACCAAGGCUUUGACGGGUAGCCGGCCUGAGAGGGUGACCGGCCACAUUGGGAAUGAGAUACGGCCCAGACUCCUACGGGAGGCAGCAGUGGGGAAUAUUGCACAAUGGGCGGAAGCCUGAUGCAGCAACGCCGCGUGCGGGAUGACGGCCUUCGGGUUUUAAACCGCUUUCGCCUGUGACGAAGCGUGAGUGACGGUAAUGGGUAAAGAAGCACCGGCUAACUACGUG